rnacentral:rRNA from 1 species
CCCUUAGAUGUUCUGGGCCGCACGCGCGCUACACUGAUGCAUUCAACGAGUUUCUUCCUGGUCCGAGAGGAAUGGGUAACCUUUUGAAAGUGCAUCGUGAUAGGGAUAGACUAUUGCAAUUAUUGGUCUUCAACGAGGAAUUCCUAGUAGACGUAGUUCAUCAGACUGCAUCGAUUACGUCCCUGCCCUUUGUACACACCGCCCGUCGCUCCUACCGAUUGAAUGCUCAGGUGAGCCAUUCGGACUUUCAUCAUGCUGGUUUCCAGUUUUGAUGCAGGAAAGUCUUGCGAACCUUAUCAUUUAGAGGAAGGAGAAGUCGUAACA